GGGGGCGACUGGUUUCGACAUGGUAAGUCGGAUCCGAGGAGCAGGUCGUGGUCUCCUCGCCACGUUAAAUAGGGGUACCGUCAAGUUAAUUGGCAAAAACAACACUCAGGGCCAGCUGGCCCUCGCUGCUUAAUCUAAUUGCAGCGUGACGACGUGAAGUUAUCCUUCGCCUUCACCUUCGUUAUCAUUAUUAGAGGGAUGCUGUUUGGCACGUAGCUGGUAUGGCUAAGCAAAAGAUUGAACCCGCUAGGGUGUGCGCGGACCUGUCAAUGGGUCUUGCUCAUCUGAAGAUUGAACAUUGAAUAAGCUUGUAGAGCCUCGUUGAUGAUUUAGUAUGGACCGGAGUUCGAUUCUCCGCGCCUCCACCA
rfam:Eggerthella sp. CAG:209 genomic scaffold, scf78